UCCCCGGUGGUCCAGUGAUUAGGAUGCGGUACUCUCACUGCUGGGGCCCAGGUUCAAUCCCUGGUUGGGGUA
rnacentral:tRNA from 1 species